CCCGGGCCACGAGCGACCACACGCGCCAUGUCCAGCCCGUCCGGUCCUUGUCGUCAUGAUUAGGAGGCGCAAAAAGAGCCUGCAUUAGCGUCAAUCCAGCGCUGCCAUGGUCGCAAACGGCACUCCCGCCAAGGGUCCGGACGGGCAGCCGCUCGGAUACCAGGAGCCGACGCCUUUCUACACGCAUCUGCUGCGCUUCCUUUUCGGACAUGUCGGCUUGUUUCUU